rnacentral:rRNA from 1 species
GAGGAAAAGAAACCAACAGGGAUUGCCCUAGUAACGGCGAGUGAAGCGGCAACAGCUCAAAUUUGAAAUUCUGGCUUCGGCCCGAGUUUGUAAUUUAUAGAGGAUGCUUUUGGGCGCGGCUCCUGCCGAGUUCCCCUGGAACGGGGCGCCACAGAGGGUGAGAGCCCCGUAUAGUGGGAAGCCAAGCCUAUGUAAAGCUCCUUCAACGAGUCGAGUAGUUUGGGAAUGCUGCUCAAAAUGGGAGGUAUAUGCCUUCUAAAGCUAAAUAUAGGCUAGAGACCGAUAGCGCACAAGUAGAGUGAUCGAAAGAUGAAAAGCACUUUGAAAAGAGGGUUAAAUAGCACGUGAAAUUGUUGAAAGGGAAGCGCUUAUGACCAGACUUGCGCUAAGCCGAUCAUCCGGCGUUUUUCGCCGGUGCACUCGGCUUAGUUCAGGCCAGCAUCGGUUCUUACCGGGGGAUAAAAGCGCUGGGGAACGUAGCUCCUCCGGGAGUGUUAUAGCCCAGCGCAACAAAUACCCUGGCGGGGACCGAGGUUUGCGCUCCGCAAGGAUGCUGGCGUAAUGGUUAUUAGCGACCCGUCUUAA